AAGCCUAUGUGAGCCAGAUGUGUCCAGCAUAGCAAAAGGGGUAAAAAAUACAUGUCGCUCCCAGCUUCACAGCAAGAAGAGAGGGGAAAGGAGAAAGCAGGAGGGGGGAGCAGAAGGGAGGAAAUAUAGGACAGGAGGGGAGGGGAGGAAAUGUACGAAGAGAGAAGGGAAAAGGAAAAGAAGGGAAGGAAUGUAGGAGUAAAGGAAGGGGAGAGGAGGAAAUGCAGGGGGAAAAGGAAGGGUGGGAGAGGAGGGAAAGGGAGGAAAUGUAGGAAGAAAAGGGGGUAGAGAAGAAAUACAGGACUAUAGUAAGGGACAAGAGGAUGGGGAAGAUAGGAGAGAGCAGGAAAGAAAAGGUUAAGAGGGGAGAGGGAGGGGGAGGGGAAAUCUAGGAGAAGAGAAGAGAGGAAAUAUUAAAGGAGAGGAGAGGAAGAGUUGGAGAAGGGAGGAGAGGAGAAGAGAGCAAAUACAGGAGAGGAGGGGGAAGAAGGGAAGGGAGGAGGAGAGGAGGGGAAGAGGGGGAGGGAGGAGAUGAGAGGGAGAAGGCAAGGGAAGAAAAUGUAGGAGAAGAGGAGGAGAGUAGUCCUUCUCUUUACUCACUUCCUGGUGCCCAUCUUUGUGUAAACAAGACUUUACUCCUUGGACCAUGCAAGAAAGAGCAAGAAUGUCCCAGUCUAAUCAUUUAAAGACACAGCCUCUCCAGCUACUCAAACAAUGGAAAGAGACUUUUCCCACACCUAUGAUAGGGAAGUCCAGAAUGUCUUCUCUCAGAAGUUGGUCCCUGGCCUUUCCCAGAUAAUAUAUAGAUGAAGAACUACUGGAAGAUAAGUACACUAAGACAUUGUUGGUGAAGCUGUAAAUUUGUCCUACCAUUCUGGAAAGUAAUUUGGUAUUAUGCUUUAAAAAAAUUAAUUGUGAAAAAGUGAAUAAAAUGUCUAUAUCCCUUGACUAAAAAGUGACA
rnacentral:lncRNA from 1 species